CCUACGGGUGGCAGCAGUGGGGAAUAUUGGACAAUGGGGGAAACCCUGAUCCAGCGACGCCGCGUGAGUGAAGAAGUAUUUCGGUACGUAAAGCUCUAUCAGCAGGAAAGAAAAUGACGGUACCUGACUAAGAAGCCCCGGCUAACUACGUGCCAGCAGCCGUGGCUAUAAGUAGGGGGCAAGCGUUAUCCGGAUUUACUGGGCGUAAAGGGAGCGCAGACGGUUGUGCAAGUCUGGAGUGAAAGGCGGGGGCCCAACCCCCGGACUGCUCUGGAAACUGUAAAGCUGGAGUGCAGGAGAGGUAAGCGGAAUUCCUAGUGUAGCGGUGAAAUGCGUAGAUAUUAGGAGGAACACCGAUUGCGAAGGCAGCAUACCGGCGCCCAACUGACGCUGAAGCACGAAAGCGUGGGUAUCGAACAGGAUUAGAUACCCUAGUAGUC
rnacentral:rRNA from 1 species